UACAGAGGUCCCGAGCGUUGUUCGGAUUCACUGGGCGUAAAGGGUGCGUAGGUGGUGAGGUAAGUCGGAUGUGAAAGCUCGGAGCUCAACUCCGAAAUGGCAUUGGAAACUACCUUGCUCGAGGGUUGGAAGGGGGACUGGAAUGCUUGGUGUAGCAGUGAAAUGCGCAGAUAUCAGGAGGAACACCGGUGGCGAAGGCGGGUCUCUGGGCCGAUACUGACGCUGGGGAGCGAAAGCGUGGGGAGCAAACAGG
rnacentral:rRNA from 1 species